CAUAGGUUAAUGAGGCGAACCGGGGGAACUGAAACAUCUAAGUACCCCGAGGAAAAGAAAUCAACCGAGAUUCCCCCAGUAGCGGCGAGCGAACGGGGAGGAGCCCAGAGCCUGAAUCAGUGUGUGUGUUAGUGGAAGCGUCUGGAAAGGCGCGCGAUACAGGGUGACAGCCCCGUACACAAAAAUGCACAUAUUGUGAGCUCGAUGAGUAGGGCGGGACACGUGGUAUCCUGUCUGAAUAUGGGGGGACCAUCCUCCAAGGCUAAAUACUCCUGACUGACCGAUAGUGAACCAGUACCGUGAGGGAAAGGCGAAAAGAACCCCGGCGAGGGGAGUGAAAAAGAACCUGAAACCGUGUACGUACAAGCAGUGGGAGCCUCUUAAUGGGGUGACUGCGUACCUUUUGUAUAAUGGGUCAGCGACUUAUAUUCUGUAGCAAGGUUAACCGAAUAGGGGAGCCGAAGGGAAACCGAGUCUUAACUGGGCGUUAAGUUGCAGGGUAUAGACCCGAAACCCGGUGAUCUAGCCAUGGGCAGGUUGAAGGUUGGGUAACACUAACUGGAGGACCGAACCGACUAAUGUUGAAAAAUUAGCGGAUGACUUGUGGCUGGGGGUGAAAGGCCAAUCAAACCGGGAGAUAGCUGGUUCUCCCCGAAAGCUAUUUAGGUAGCGCCUCGUGAAUUCAUCUCCGGGGGUAGAGCACUGUUUCGGCAAGGGGGUCAUCCCGACUUACCAACCCGAUGCAAACUGCGAAUACCGGAGAAUGUUAUCACGGGAGACACACGGCGGGUGCUAACGUCCGUCGUGAAGAGGGAAACAACCCAGACCGCCAGCUAAGGUCCCAAAGUCAUGGUUAAGUGGGAAACGAUGUGGGAAGGCCCAGACAGCCAGGAUGUUGGCUUAGAAGCAGCCAUCAUUUAAAGAAAGCGUAAUAGCUCACUGGUCGAGUCGGCCUGCGCGGAAGAUGUAACGGGGCUAAACCAUGCACCGAAGCUGCGGCAGCGACACUAUGUGUUGUUGGGUAGGGGAGCGUUCUGUAAGCCUGUGAAGGUGGCCUGUGAGGGUUGCUGGAGGUAUCAGA
rnacentral:rRNA from 1 species